AACGAACGCUGGCGGCAGGCCUAACACAUGCAAGUCGAACGCCCCGCAAGGGGAGUGGCAGACGGGUGAGUAACACGUGGGAACCUUCCCUAUAGUACGGAAUAGCCCAGGGAAACUUGGAGUAAUACCGUAUACGCCCGAAAGGGGAAAGAAUUUCGCUAUAGGAUGGGCCCGCGUAGGAUUAGCUAGUUGGUGAGGUAAUGGCUCACCUAGGCGACGAUCCUUAGCUGGUUUGAGAGAACGACCAGCCACACUGGGACUGAGACACGGCCCAGACUCCUACGGGAGGCAGCAGUGGGGAAUAUUGGACAAUGGGCGCAAGCCUGAUCCAGCCAUGCCGCGUGAGUGAUGAAGGCCUUAGGGUUGUAAAGCUCUUUUGGCGGGGACGAUAAUGACGGUACCCGCAGAAUAAGACCCGGCUAACUUCGUG
rnacentral:rRNA from 1 species